GAUGAACGCUGGCGGCGUGCUUAACACAUGCAAGUCGAACGGAAAGGCCGAAGCUUGCUUCGGUACUCGAGUGGCGAACGGGUGAGUAACACGUGGGUGAUCUGCCCUGUACUUCGGGAUAAGCUUGGGAAACUGGGUCUAAUACCGGAUAUGACGAUCUCUUGGAUGGGGUUGUGGAAAGCUUUUGCGGUAUGGGAUGAGCUCGCGGCCUAUCAGCUUGUUGGUGGGGUAAUGGCCUACCAAGGCGUCGACGGGUAGCCGGCCUGAGAGGGUGUACGGCCACAUUGGGCUUGAGAGACGGCCCAGAGUCCUACGGGUGGGAGCAGUGGGGAAUGUUGCACAAUGGGCGCAAGCCUGAGGCAGGGACGCCGCGUGGGGGAUGACGGCCUUCGGGUUGUAGACUCCUCUGGCAGUCGACGAAGCCUUUUGGUGACGGUAGGUUGAGAAGAAGCACCGGCUAACUACGUG
rnacentral:rRNA from 1 species